rnacentral:rRNA from 1 species
GAGUUUGAUCCUGGCUCAGGACGAACGCUGGCGGCGUGCUUAACACAUGCAAGUCGAACGGAAAGGCCCCGCUUGCGGGGUACUCGAGUGGCGAACGGGUGAGUAACACGUGGGUGAUCUGCCCUGCACUUCGGGAUAAGCCUGGGAAACUGGGUCUAAUACCGGAUAGGACCCCUCUUUAGUGUGGGGGGUGGAAAGUUUUUUCGGUGUGGGAUGAGCCCGCGGCCUAUCAGCUUGUUGGUGGGGUAAUGGCCUACCAAGGCGUCGACGGGUAGCCGGCCUGAGAGGGUGGACGGCCACAUUGGGACUGAGAUACGGCCCAGACUCCUACGGGAGGCAGCAGUGGGGAAUAUUGCACAAUGGGCGGAAGCCUGAUGCAGCGACGCCGCGUGGGGGAUGACGGCCUUCGGGUUGUAAACCUCUUUCGCUAGGGACGAAGCUUUUGUGACGGUACCUAGAUAAGAAGCACCGGCUAACUACGUGCCAGCAGCCGCGGUAAUACGUAGGGUGCGAGCGUUGUCCGGAAUUACUGGGCGUAAAGAGCUCGUAGGUGGUUUGUCGCGUCGUCUGUGAAAUUCCGGGGCUUAACUUCGGGCGUGCAGGCGAUACGGGCAAUACUUGAGUGCUGUAGGGGAGACUGGAAUUCCUGGUGUACCGGUGGAAUGCGCAGAUAUCAGGAGGAACACCGAUGGCGAAGGCAGGUCUCUGGGCAGUAACUGACGCUGAGGAGCGAAAGCAUGGGUAGCGAACAGGAUUAGAUACCCUGGUAGUCCAUGCCGUAAACGGUGGGCGCUAGGUGUAGGGGUCUUCCACGACUUCUGUGCCGUAGCUAACGCAUUAAGCGCCCCGCCUGGGGAGUACGGCCGCAAGGCUAAAACUCAAAGGAAUUGACGGGGGCCCGCACAAGCGGCGGAGCAUGUGGAUUAAUUCGAUGCAACGCGAAGAACCUUACCUGGGCUUGACAUACACCGGACCGGGCCAGAGAUGGUCUUUCCCUUGUGGCUGGUGUACAAGUGGUGCAUGGUUGUCGUCAGCUCGUGUCGUGAGAUGUUGGGUUAAGUCCCGCAACGAGCGCAACCCUUGUCUUAUGUUGCCAGCACGUAGUGGUGGGGACUCAUGAGAGACUGCCGGGGUCAACUCGGAGGAAGGUGGGGAUGACGUCAAAUCAUCAUGCCCCUUAUGUCCAGGGCUUCACACAUGCUACAAUGGUCGGUACAACGCGUUGCGACACUGUGAGGUGGAGCUAAUCGCUGAAAGCCGGCCUCAGUUCGGAUUGGGGUCUGCAACUCGACCCCAUGAAGUCGGAGUCGCUAGUAAUCGCAGAUCAGCAACGCUGCGGUGAAUACGUUCCNCGGGCCCUUGUACACACCGCCC